rnacentral:rRNA from 1 species
GACGAACGCUGGCGGCGUGCUUAACACAUGCAAGUCGAGCGGAAAGGCCCUUCGGGGUACUCGAGCGGCGAACGGGUGAGUAACACGUGAGUAAUCUGCCCUGCGCUCUGGGAUAGCCACCGGAAACGGUGAUUAAUACCGGAUAGGACCACUUCACGCAUGUGAUGGUGGUGGAAAGUUUUUUCGGCGCAGGAUGUGCUCGCGGCCUAUCAGCUUGUUGGUGAGGUAACGGCUCACCAAGGCUUUGACGGGUAACCGGCCUGAGAGGGUGACCGGUCACACUGGGACUGAGACACGGCCCAGACUCCUACGGGAGGCAGCAGUGGGGAAUAUUGGACAAUGGGCGGAAGCCUGAUCCAGCAACGCCGCGUGAGGGAUGACGGCCUUCGGGUUGUAAACCUCUUUCAGUACCGACGAAGCGCAAGUGACGGUAGGUACAGAAGAAGGACCGGCCAACUACGUGCCAGCAGCCGCGGUAAUACGUAGGGUCCGAGCGUUGUCCGGAAUUAUUGGGCGUAAAGGGCUCGUAGGCGGUUUGUCGCGUCGGGAGUGAAAACACCGGGCUUAACUCGGUGCUUGCUUUCGAUACGGGCAGACUAGAGGUAUGCAGGGGAGAAUGGAAUUCCUGGUGUAGCGGUGAAAUGCGCAGAUAUCAGGAGGAACACCGGUGGCGAAGGCGGUUCUCUGGGCAUUACCUGACGCUGAGGAGCGAAAGUGUGGGGAGCGAACAGGAUUAGAU